CCUGUUCAGAAUGAACUUUAAAUCGGGUUGCUAUGGAAACCCAAUUUGCUGCAGAGCUGCUGCAUCACCUGCUGCUCCCAGUUAGCUUCAGCAACUGGUAUUGGCUGGUUCUGGGUGGAGUUUUGUUUAAUGUGUCUAAAACACGUCACAGAUAUUUAACUAACAUUCCAGAAAAUAUCACCCUGUGGAUAAACAACAUCAUGGCUCCAUGAAGCUAAAUAUGUCCUGAAUGUCCUUGAACGCAUCAUGGCUGGAAGAGAAACUCAGGUGUUAAAGAAGGGAGGGGUUUAUGUUUGACAGGUAGCAGGAAGAGAAGAGAAGCUCUGAAGAACGAGUGAAUUAAAUCAAGUCUAUCAGAGUUGAAGCUUUAAGGAAAUGCGGUCAGAACGUUCCAGCAGCUUCAGCCUCUCAGACCUGGAACCGGAUCCAGUUCUGACCUGAAAACGGCAUCACGGAGGAGUGGACAAGUCAAAGUUAUCAAGUUUAUUAGCAAAACACAUUACAGCAACAGGUCAGUUUAAAGUUUUACAUAAUGAAUGAAAAAUCAACAUUACAAUGGAAAAAUAAAGAAAAGAGAUGAAAAGUUAUAAUCCAGAACAAAGUAAAAAAAUGUUUUAGUUAUUAUAAAUCAAACCCAUAAACAGGCUAAAGGUUUUUAGUCUAGAUUCAAAGGAUGUCAGUUUUACAGUUUUCUGGAAGUUUGUUCCA